CAAUGUUGGGUAGAGUUGUAUGGAGUGAAAGAUGGUUUUUUUUUGGGAUUUUCUAAAUUGAACUUUCCCUCUUUCAUUCCAUACAUCGUCUAACCAAAAUAAU
rnacentral:pre_miRNA from 1 species